GCUUUACUACAAUACAAAGAGAUGGUACACAAGAAGUUGACAUCACCGGGCUGCAGAGUCAACAAAAUGAUGAUGAAAUACAAGUUCAAAGCAAGGAGAAAGGUAUCCCUCAAGGCAAAGAAGACAACAAAGAUGGUGAUGACAAAGAAGAAGA